rnacentral:rRNA from 1 species
AUUGAACGCUGGCGGCAGGCCUAACACAUGCAAGUCGAACGAGUGGCGGACGGGUGAGUAAUGUCUGGGAAACUGCCUGAUGGAGGGGGAUAACUACUGGAAACGGUAGCUAAUACCGCAUACUAUCAGAUGUGCCCAGAUGGGAUUAGCUUGUUGGUGGGGUAACGGCUCACCAAGGCGACGAUCCCUAGCUGGUCUGAGAGGAUGACCAGCCACACUGGAACGAGGCAACGGUCCGAACUCCUACGGGAGGCGGCGGUGGGAAAUAUUGCACAAUGAGCGCAAGCCUGAUGCAGCCAGGCCGCGUGUAUGAAGAAGGCCUUCGGGUUGAAAAGUACUUUCAGCGGGAAGGCGUUACCCGCAGAAGAAGCACCGGCUAACUCCGUGCCAGCAGCCGCGGUAAUAC